rnacentral:lncRNA from 1 species
CUAGCCCCACUUUUCUUUCCUCUUGCCUUUGCGGUGGGUAAGGGCAACGCCAGCCGCUGGCGACAGCGUCGAAACACCGCGCCACGCGAGCCCCCUUCCCCUUCCCCUUCCCACUCUUCCUCUACAUCCAUCUUCCACCUCCUGCGGCAGAGAUAGAGGGACGUAGCUGCGCCCUCCUCUGCUCCCCUGCGCUCGACGGCGCGUGCUUGGCGGCGCCCUCCCUGGCCCUCUUGUCAGCGUGCGCGAGCACAGUUGGUGAACGCGCCGCUGCCAACCGGCUCAGUGGGUUGCCCUUUGCCCCUUUCGGGGUAUGUUCUUCCCGACCCCUCGGCUUGCCGAUGCGUGUCGAGAUCAAGAGGAACGGCGCGGUACAGCAGCGGCGCUACUUUUUCGGCGAGCCCAAGGCCCUUCCCUGGUGAGGAUUUCUUUGCCCUGUGAUUAGGGUUCUUCGGGAGGAGAAAAUAACUUUGAUUUCUCUACUAUCGAAAAUCCUAAAACAAACGCUGGCUGAUACCAUUGAUAGAUCCUAUGGAUCGGGUAGGCUAGAAAUUAACGGUAGUUGAUCUUUGCGUAUUGAUCUGUCUAUGCAUCUGUGAUGUGAGGACAGAGAGAUGGGAGGAGGAUACCUUCUCCUUGGCUCGAUGAGCCCGAGCCGGUGGCCAUGGUGGAGGGGCGUGUGUGUGCGUGGGCAGCGGCGGAN